UACAGAGGGAGCAAGCGUUAAUCGGAAUUACUGGGCGUAAAGCGUGCGUAGUCGGUUAUUUAAGUCGGAUGUGAAAUCCCCGGGCUCAACCUGGGAAUUGCAUUCGAUACUGGAUAGCUAGAGUUCGGCAGAGGGAAGCGGAAUUUCGGGUGUAGCGGUGAAAUGCGUAGAUAUCCGAAGGAACAUCAGUGGCGAAAGCGGCUUCCUGGACCAGAACUGACGAUCAGGCACGAAAGCAUGGGGAGCAAACAGG
rnacentral:rRNA from 1 species